GGCCAGAGGCCAAACCACAACACAGAGAGCUACAAGCUGGGGGGAGAGGAGAGAAAGAGGAAAAAAGUAGCAAAUCAAGAAAAGUAUGAGUAUUAUUGACACUGACAGACAUGUGUAGAGGCAGGAUAUGAUAGGUGAGAGGUUGUGAUGAGAGGCAGGACAGGAUAGGUGAGAGGUUGUGAUGAGAGGCAGGAUAUGAUAGGUGAGAGGUUGUGAUGAGAGGCAGGACAGGAUAGGUGAGAGGUUGUGAUGAGAGGCAGGACAGGAUAGGUGAGAGGUUGUGAUGAGAGGCAGGACAGGAUAGGUGAGAGGUUGUGAUGAGAGGCAGGACAGGAUAGGUGAGAGGUUGUGAUGAGAGGCAGGACAGGAUAGGUGAGAGGUUGUGAUGAGAGGCAGGACAGGAUAGGUGAGAGGUUGUGAUGAGAGGCAGGACAGGAUAGGUGAGAGGUUGUGAUGAGAGGCAGGACAGGAUAGGUGAGAGGUUGUGAUGAGAGGCAGGACAGGAUAGGUGAGAGGUUGUGAUGAGAGGCAGGAUAUGAUAGGUGAGAGGUUGUGAUGAGAGGCAGGACAGGAUAGGUGAGAGGUUGUGAUGAGAGGCAGGACAGGAUAGGUGAGAGGUUGUGAUGAGAGGCAGGACAGGAUAGGUGAGAGGUUGUGAUGAGAGGCAGGAUAUGAUAGGUGAGAGGUUGUGAUGAGAGGCAGGACAGGAUAGGUGAGAGGUUGUGAUGAGAGGCAGGACAGGAUAGGUGAGAGGUUGUGAUGAGAGGCAGGACAGGAUAGGUGAGAGGUUGUGAUGAGAGGCAGGAUAUGAUAGGUGAGAGGUUGUGAUGAGAGGCAGGACAGGAUAGGUGAGAGGUUGUGAUGAGAGGCAGGACAGGAUAGGUGAGAGGUUGUGAUGAGAGGCAGGAUAUGAUAGGUGAGAGGUUGUGAUGAGAGGCAGGACAGGAUAGGUGAGAGGUUGUGAUGAGAGGCAGGACAGGAUAGGUGAGAGGUUGUGAUGAGAGGCAGGACAGGAUAGGUUAGAGGUUGUGAUGAGAGGCAGGACAGGAUAGGUGAGAGGUUGUGAUGAGAGGCAGGACAGGAUAGGUUAGAGGUUGUGAUGAGAGGCAGGACAGGAUAGGUGAGAGGUUGUGAUGAGAGGCAGGACAGGAUGGGUGAGAGGUUGUGAUGAGAGGCAGGACAGGAUAGGUGAGAGGUUGUGAUGAGAGGCAGGACAGGAUAGGUGAGAGGUUGUGAUGAGAGGCAGGACAGGAUAGGUGAGAGGUUGUGAUGAGAGGCAGGACAGGAUAGGUGAGAGGUUGUGAUGAGAGGCAGGACAGGAUAGGUGAGAGGUUGUGAUGAGAGGCAGGACAGGAUAGGUGAGAGGUUGUGAUGAGAGGCAGGACAGGAUAGGUGAGAGGUUGUGAUGAGAGGCAGGACAGGAUAGGUGAGAGGUUGUGAUGAGAGGCAGGACAGGAUAGGUGAGAGGUUGUGAUGAGAGGCAGGAUAUGAUAGGUGAGAGGUUGUGAUGAGAGGCCUGAUAGAUCCUGUAGUAUUUCUUCCGUAUUAACAAGGUGUGUCGGUCAGAGAGUAGAGUCUCACAAGGAGUGGGGCUGGUUGCAUGCCGAUGGGUUAUAGAGGUUGUAUAGGCCUAUAUCUACAGCCUAGUUGGAGUACCCAGAUCAAGGAAAAUGCAUGUCUUUUUGACAAAAUAAUAAUUUCACAAAAAGUGUGUAGCAUUCACAACUUUAAAUUGUCUUCAUCAGGCUUUGCUAAACUAAGAACAUUGCGUCUAAAAUCGUUUUGGGGUCUGUUAAUCUACAGCCCAGUCUGAAAGUGAAAAAAAUGCAUGUUUUUAGAACAAACAAAUAAUCUAAACUGAACAAAAAAUAUAAAACGCAUUGUGUAAAGUGUUGGUCCCAUGUUUACUGAGCUGAAAUAAAAGGUCCCAGAAAUGUUCCAUAUGGGACAAAAAGCUUAUUUCUUAAUUAGUUUUCUUUACAUGACAGGAAUGGACCUCCAUUCCUGUCAUUAUUGAAAGAGAUUGUGAUAUCUCACAACUCAAAAUAGUACUACUUAAUGUUAUAUCCCUCACUUCCAAGGCAGUCAUAGUCAAUGAACUAACCACUGAUCAUAACCUUGAUGUGAUUGGCCUGACUGAAACAUGGCUCAAGCCCGAUUCAUUUACUGUGUUAAAUAAGGCCUCUCCUCCUGGUUACACUAGUGACCAUAUCCCCCACGCAUCCCACAAAGGCGGAAGUGUUGUUAACAUUUACGACAGCAUAAACAAUUUAAAUAAAUAAGACUGCAUUUUCUUAUUUUGAGAUUGUAGUCUUUGCAGCCUACUCAAUCACUUUUUAUAGCUACUGUUUACAGACCUCCAGGGCCAUAUACAGCAUUCCCCACAGAGUUCCCUGAACUCCUGUCAGACUAUGUUGUCAUGGCAGAUAAUAUUAACAUUUUUGUUGACUUCAAUAUUCACAUGAAAAAGACCACAGACGCACUCCAAAAGGCUUUCGGAGCCACCAUUGACUCAGUGGGUUUUGUCCAACAUGUCUUCCAUCCCGCGCACUGCCACAGUCAUACCCCAAUCUAAUUUUUCUUAUGGAAUAAAUAUUGUGGAUCUAAAUAUUUUUCCUCAUAAUCCUGAACUACCGGAUUACCAUUUUAUAACGUUUGCAAUCGCAACAAAUAAAUCUGCUCAAACGCCAACCAAGAUUAUCAAAAGCUGUGCUAUUAAUUCUCGGAAAACCCAAAGAUCCCUAGAUGCCCUUCCAGACUCCUCCACCGACACAAGGACAUCAGAGUAAAAAAAUUCAGUUAACCACCUAACUGAGGAACUCAAUUUAACCUUGCGUAAUACCGUAGAUGCAGUCGCAUUGCACCUCUAAAAACAUUUGUCACAAGAAAUCAGCUCCUGGUGUACAGAAAAUACCCAAGCCCUGAAGCAAGCUUCCAGAAAAUUGGAACGGAAACGACACUCCACGAAGCUGGAAGCCUUCCGACGAGCUUGGAAAGACAGUACCAUGCAAUAUCGAAGAGCCCUCACUGCUACCCUACCAACCUACUUUUCCAUCCUAAUUGAGGAGAGUAAAAACAAUCCAAAAAUCUAUAUUUUCAAUAAUGUGGCAAAGCUAACUAAAAAGCAGCAUUCCCCAAGAGAGGAUGGCUAUCACUUCGACAAAAAGAUCAUGAUCAUUAGAAAGCAAAUUACGGACUCCUCUUUGAAUCUGCACAUUUCUCCGAAACUCAGUUUUCCUGAGUCGGCACAGAACUGCCAGGACCUAUGAUAAAUGGAGACACUAAAGUUUUUUAAUCCCGUAUCUCUCUACACGAAAAUAGUCAUGGCCUCCAAACCUUCUAGCUGUCUACUGGACCCUAUACCAACUAAACUACUGAAAGAGCUACUUCCUUCCUUCCCCUACUAUGUUGAACAUAAUAAACAGCUCCCUAUCCUCCGGAUGUGUACCAAACUCACUAAAAGCGGCAAUAAUAAAGCCUCUUUUUUACUCAUUGGCCUAUAUCGAAUACCUCAUUCCUCUAAUUUAUUGGGGAAAAAGCUGUUGCGCAGCAACCCACUGCCUUCCUGAAGAUAAAUAAUAUAUACAAAACUCUCCAGUCUUGUUUUAGACCCCAUCAUAGCACUGAGACUGCCCUUGUGAAGUUGGUCAUUUUAAUGGAGUCAGACCAAGGCUCUGCAUCUGUCCUCAUGCUCCUAAACCUUAUGGCCGAUCUAAACCAAGUUCUUGCCUGGUUUAGAUCACAUCUGUCGGAAAGAUAUCAGUUAGU